GACGAACGCUGGCGGCGUGCUUAACACAUGCAAGUCGUACGGUAAGGCCCUUUCGGGGGUACACGAGUGGCGAACGGGUGAGUAACACGUGAGUAACCUGCCCACAACUUUGGGAUAACGCUAGGAAACUGGUGCUAAUACUGGAUAUGUGCUCCUGCUGCAUGGUGGGGGUUGGAAAGCUCCGGCGGUUGUGGAUGGACUCGCGGCCUAUCAGCUUGUUGGUGGGGUAGUGGCCUACCAAGGCGGCGACGGGUAGCCGGCCUGAGAGGGUGACCGGCCACAUUGGGACUGAGAUACGGCCCAGACUCCUACGGGAGGCAGCAGUGGGGAAUAUUGCACAAUGGGCGCAAGCCUGAUGCAGCAACGCCGCGUGCGGGAUGACGGCCUUCGGGUUGUAAACCGCUUUCAGCAGGGACGAAGCUUUUUGUGACGGGACCUGCAGAAGAAGCACCGGCUAACUACGG
rnacentral:rRNA from 1 species